rnacentral:rRNA from 1 species
CUCUGUGACUCCUACGGGAGGCAGCAGUGGGGAAUAUUGCACAAUGGGCGCAAGCCUGAUGCAGCCAUGCCGCGUGUAUGAAGAAGGCCUUCGGGUUGUAAAGUACUUUCAGCAGUGAGGAAGGCGGAGUCGUUAAUAGCGGCCUCGUUUGACGUUAGCUGCAGAAGAAGCACCGGCUAACUCCGUGCCAGCAGCCGCGGUAAUACGGAGGGUGCGAGCGUUAAUCGGAAUUACUGGGCGUAAAGCGCAUGCAGGUGGUUUGUUAAGUCAGAUGUGAAAGCCCGGGGCUCAACCUCGGAAUUGCAUUUGAAACUGGCAGACUAGAGUACUGUAGAGGGGGUAGAAUUUCAGGUGUAGCGGUGAAAAUGCGUAGAGAUCUGAAGGAAUACCGGUGGCGAAGGCGGCCCCCUGGACAGAUACUGACACUCAGAUGCGAAAGCGUGGGGAGCAAACAGGAUUAGAUACCCUGGUAA